rnacentral:lncRNA from 1 species
CUGAAAUCUAUCUAGUUAUUCUUAGCAAAAAUGUCUCAUGUACAGAUCCUUAAAAAUUGAAACUAAAAAUCUGACAUCAGUUUUAAGUUGGCGUUGAAAGGGCUCCUUGCUCCUAACCAUUGGUUCCCUCAGGGAAAUUUCCCCAUGGCUUGCAUGGUGAUCAGCAAAGAGAAGAGAGGCCAAAUGGAAAACAAAUCCAGCUGAUGGCCUCAGAGGAGGCAGGUUUGUCCCUCACUCACUGAUUCACGCACUUCUCAGAAUUCAUGAGAAAGAGAAAUCAACUAACAUUCUCGAGCCAGCUAGACGAUUGUACCAGCAUCGUGCCACUCAUCCUCAAGACAAAUGUGAAAUAGGUAUUAUGAGUUCCACCAUACAAGUGACGGCAACAAAGCUCAAUAUCCUGGAAAACAUCCAUGCACAAAUCCCUGUGAUGCUCCAGGGACCUUUGGAUAACAAGCACUUCUGGGAAGAAAUGAAAAGACCAACUGCCAGUGUUUGUUGAAGAGGGGUUCAGUUUUUCCUCACGUGAUGCAACAGAUGGCCUUGACAGACUGCUGGGUGGGAAGGAAGAAACCUCCACCUCCAUCUACUCAGCUGCUGUUGUCUCCUCCUACCAUGCCACGUCACACUUACAUAUUCAUGUCUUUUCUUCUAAACCCUCAGCCAUCUAGAAAUGGGCUGAUUUGAAUAAACUAUGAAAAUAGUAACCAAAUACAGACAAAACUCACUUUGUUAUACAUUGUUGCACUCUAUAGAUUUUGCAUUUUUAAAAAACAAAUUGAAAGUUUCUGUAAAUCUAGAUCUAUUGGUGUAAUUUUUCAACACAAUAUAUGACCUUUAGCACG